rnacentral:rRNA from 1 species
AGCAGUCGCCACGGGAAUACGGAGGGAGCAAGCGUUAAUCGGAAUUACUGGGCGUAAAGCGUGCGUAGGCGGUUCGUUAAGUCUGAUGUGAAAGCCCCCGGCUCAACCGGGGAGGGUCAUUGGAAACUGUGAAACUUGAGUGCAGAAGAGGAGAGUGGAAUUCCACGUGUAGCGGUGAAAUGCGUAGAGAUGUGGAGGAACACCAGUGGCGAAGGCGACUCUCUGGUCUGUAACUGACGCUGAGGAGCGAAAGCGUGGGGAGCGAACAGGAUUAGAUACCCCAGUAGUCCCUGUCUCUUAUAC